GCUCAACCGAAGAAGUGCAUCGGAAACUGGGAAACUUGAGUGCAGAAGAGGACAGUGGAACUCCAUGUGUAGCGGUGAAAUGCGUAGAUAUAUGGAAGAACACCAGUGGCGAAGGCGGCUGUCUGGUCUGUAACUGACGCUGAGGCUCGAAAGUAUGGGUAGCGAACAGGAUUAGAUACCCUGGUAGUCCAUACCGUAAACGAUGAAUGCUAAGUGUUGGAGGGUUUCCGCCCUUCAGUGCUGCAGCUAACGCAUUAAGCAUUCCGCCUGGGGAGUACGGCCGCAAGGCUGAAACUCAAAGGAAUUGACGGGGGCCCGCACAAGCGGUGGAGCAUGUGGUUUAAUUCGAAGCUACGCGAAGAACCUUACCAGGUCUUGACAUACUAUGCAAAUCUAAGAGAUUAGACGUUCCCUUCGGGGACAUGGAUACAGGUGGUGCAUGGUUGUCGUCAGCUCGUGUCGUGAGAUGUUGGGUUAAGUCCCGCAACGAGCGCAACCCUUAUUAUCAUUUGCCAGCAUUAAGUUUGGGCACUCUGGUGAGACUGCCGGUGACAAACCGGAGGAAGGUGGGGAUGACGUCAAAUCAUCUUGCCCCUUAUGACCUGGUGCUACACACGUGCUACAAUGGAUGGUACAACG
rnacentral:rRNA from 1 species